rnacentral:lncRNA from 1 species
AAGUAGUUGCAAAAUGCAAAGAGAAAAGUCUGGUAUAUGUUACUUUAAAAUGUUAGUAGUCAUUAAUCUCAGGUGGUGAGAUUACAAAGGUUUGAUCUUUGAUAUCUUUUGAUUUGCACAUGACAUAAACAUACUGCUUUUGAAGAGUAGUUGUCAUUUAUUUUGUAGAAUGUCCCUCCAUUUGGGUUGGGUUGUCUGAUAUUUUUCAUGGCUAGAUUGAGGUAUUAAUAAUAACAUUUUGAGAAAGAAUUCCUCUUCUCUCCUCAGAAAUAGCUGGAUUUUCACAGA